rnacentral:lncRNA from 1 species
ACGCCAGUCUGGAAACUGUUGCUGUCGUCGCGUGCGGGUUGACGCGCAGCGGUGCGUUUCUCGGGCGCGUUUGGGGAUGUGAGUGAGUGACCCGCGUCCAGAUCAGCGCAACGCGUGCAGGUGUGUGUGUGUGUGUGUUUGUGUGUGUAUGACGGACAUCAUCAUGCUCAAAGGCUCUCAGUGAUCCGCUCCUUCCCAUGAUUCCACACCAGGCCGCCCCAUGCCAGCCCGUAACCACGACGACUGCUCGCCCCCGUGAGCUCCUCCUCUGUCGCCCGGUGGCCGUUUGACUGGAUGAGGAACCCAGCCUCCAGUGAUGUGAUGCACAGGUUUGAGGUUCUUGGGAUUGUGGGGGAAGGAGCUUACGGUGUCGUCCUGAAGUGCAGACACAAGGUGAGAUCUCAGACACACAAGUUCAUGUCGUUUUUAAACCCACAAAACACUAGUCA